CCCAAAGCCAUGGGCAUUCUUGGUGCUGGCGUCCAACUCCCUUGGUCACCUGCACCUUUGAAAAUUUCCCUUGUUCCCAUGGGCCAUUUCGGGACUCCCAAUCCCUCGGCUAAAAACUUUGUCCGAAAAGCUCCCACUCCCCCACCCCACUCCCUCCUCCAACACCCCCUUCUCUCUCUUUCUCCUCAUUUCUUCUUUUUUCCCACAGAGAGAGAGAGGGAGGGGAGUAAAGCGAACACCAACCACAACGACUUUGAUCAGACGCGCACGCCGUUAGGGCUCUUUUUUACAAAACGCUCGCUCGCGUUUCAGAGAGAGAGAGAGGGGAAUGCCCGUGGGAGAGAUCGGAGAUCGAGCUCGAGGAUCGGAAUCGCCGGCGGGGGAGGCAGCGAAAGGUUUGGUCUAAGGGGGAUUUGAAUUGCCUGAGGGGGAUUUUAAUUGCCUGGAGGAAGUUUGUUAGCUGAUAAAGGAGCUGGUUGGUUGGCAUUGAGGAAAUGGACUCGGAUACUCCUCUAGACUAUGCGCUGUUCCAGCUCUCGCCGAGACAUUCACGGUGCGAGUUGAUUGUUUCGGGAGAUGGGAAGACUGAGAAGCUGGCAUCUGGAUUGUUGAAACCAUUCACCACUCAUUUGAAGGUUGCUGAAGAGCAGGCCUCACAGGCAGUUUCCUCGAUAAAGCUUGAGGUCGAGAGACGGAAAAAUGGCCGCACAUGGUUCAACAAAGGAACCCUUGAAAGGUUUGUUCGAUUUGUUAGUACGCCUGAGGUGCUGGAAUUGGUCAAUACAUUUGAUUCUGAGAUGUCACAGUUGGAAGGUGCUAGGAGAAUAUACUCACAGGGAUCUGGAGAUCCACCUUCUGGUACACUGGGUGAACAUGGAACAGCUGCAGCAGCAGCCGCAGACAUGACAAAGAAGGAACUUCUUAGGGCCAUUGAUAUGCGGCUUGUUGCUGUUAAGCAAGAUCUGACUACAGCUUUUGCUCGGGCAUCGUCUGCUGGAUUCACCCUUGACAACAUCUCUGAACUUCUUCUCUUUGCAGACCAUUUUGGUGCACAUCGCCUGAAUGAAGCAUGCACGAAGUUCAUUUCACUAUGCCAGAGGCGGCCUGAGCUUGUUAGUUACCAGCGCAUGCCAUCACAAUGGAAGGGCUUUGAUGAAGGGAAUGUCCGCGCUUCCUCUGGCUCAGACAUGUCAAUAGACGAGCCAGAGGUGGAGCCAAGUGGUGGUAAACUACCCACUAAUGAUGGUGGUGGGCUCAAGCUUCUGAAGCCCGGCAACAACCAACAACCACAACUUAGCACGGCAGAGCUACCUGCUGCAAGUCAGCAGCUCAAGCCCAUUCCCAGGUGUUUGGUGGAUAUACAGGCAGAAAAAGUGACAGAGGAGCAUCCUGCUGCAUCAGUGGCUGACCCAGCUCGGCAGGAUGUGGGAGGAGUUUCUAGGCGGCUGAGUGUGCAGGAUCGGAUCAACCUCUUUGAAAGCAAGCGGAAAGAACAGGCUGGAAGUUCUAACAACAGCACUGGCGGUGGUGUUAAUAAGGUGGCUGCGGGGAAGGGGAUGCAUCGAAGGUUUCCUUCUGAUGUCAGUGUGGAGAAGUCAGUGUUAAGGAGAUGGAGUGGUGCCAGUGACAUGAGCAUAGAUCUGAAUAGCAGCACUAAUAGCAACUGCAGUGAGAGGAAGGAGAGUGGGAGUGCUGCAGGGACCCCUACAUCUGUCAACUUCCAGGCCCAAUCCAUUAGUAAAACUGAAGAGAAGGAGGCUAGCGGAUUGAAGGAUACCGCUACAUCACACUCCUGUUUGGAUCUUAAAGAAUGCCGACCAGCAACUUCCUCUUCUUCAUUGCCUUCAUCCCACCCACAGAUCAAGGCUUUUCCUAAGGAUAGGGAUUGUACGAAGGAUGAAGGUACUGCAAUAUCUAGUACCCAGUCAGGACCACUUUUGGAAAAGGAGCAGGAGAUUUAUCAGAAGAAUGUUUCUGUGGGGAGGAUGGAGAAUCAUGGAUCCAGUGAUCAAGCUUCUUAUCAGACCCUAGCGAAAGCCUCUUCAGAAUCAGGUGAGGGUGCUGGUUGGAAAGAGCAUGCAACCAUUUGUGCCCAAUAUAAAGCCAUUUCAAAGGAGCAUGUGAAAGAUCAAGCAGCUCUGCAGAUUGCAUCACGAGCUGUAUCAGCUGUAGCCGAGCAGGUUGGACGGAAAGAUCAAGAAGGCUUGGGGUCCCAAUCUGGAGAGGUUCCUUCAGGAGCAGACAGUGUUCGAGCAAAGGAUCAACCAAAUUCGGUUACCCAAUUCCGGACAUUUGUGAGGAAAACUGAGAGUAUCGAAGUGAAAUCAAAAGGCCCUUCAGAUUCACGAUUUCCAUUCAAAUCUUCAUCUGGCAAGGUGGAAGGCAUCUCCCCAGGGAGUGACUUGCUGGCUCCCCAACCUCAGGGGAGAACUUUUCCUGGAAAACUGGAGGAAGCAGGGGUAGAAGAGACAGCUGCUUCUCAGGUUCCAUUUGGUUCUGUUCCAACCAAACCAAAAGAAGAUUCUGGUCCCCAGGGAACAAAUUUGCAUCGGCAAUCCUCUGCUCUCAAUCAGAUUAGGAAGUCGCAGGGACAGAGAGAUGAAAGAGCACAUGAUGAAGGAAAUGCUGCGCAAGCUUUUCCAGGGAAGAGGGCUAAAGAAAGCACGGAAAUAUUUGAUUCACCCUCCACAUCUUCAAUGGAGCAGGUUCAGGUGGCGAGGCUAUCAAAAGGAAAUCAGGAGCUGAAUGAUGAACUGCAAAUAAAAGCGAAUGAGUUGGAAAAACUUUUUGCUGCACAUAAGCUCAGGGUUCAGAGUGAUCAGAUGGCUGCUUCUCGAAGAAGCAAACCUGCUGAUGUGCAGGUCGAUCAUUCACCCAAGUCUGUAGAGAAAAAAGCAGCAGUAGCUGUUCUUAAGCAAUUGGUUGAGAGCAAUCUAGUGAGGGAGAAUUCUAGUAAUGGAAUAGACUUUGAUGCUAAUUUGCUGUUGAAGAGGGUAGAUAAUCGGGACUUCGGUACUAACAUAAAGCAGAAACUUGGCUCCCUCAGUCCAUCAGAUGAUUCUAGAGGAAAAUUCUAUGAGCGAUAUAUGCAAAAACGGGAAGCAAAGCUACGGGAAGAGUGGGGAUCUAAAAGGGUCCAAAAGGAAGCAAAGAUGAAGGCUAUGCAUGACAGCUUAGAACGUAGUCAGGCUGAAAUGAGGGCAAAAUUUGCAGGAUCUGCUGAUGGACAAGAUUUGACUUACAGUCGUCACCGUGCAGAGAAGUUGAGGUCUUUUAAUGCCCGUUCGGCUUUCAAAAACAAAUACCAGCAGGCAGUAGAGUCCCUUCAGGGAGAGGAUGGAGAUUUUCAAGAACCUUAUGAACAGGUUGAUAACGGCCAAGAUAAAACAUAUAGUGAUAAUCUAUUUAGUGAUGGUUCUUCUAAAAGCAACAACUCCAGAAAGGUUCCAUCUGGUAAAAGUUUGUCUUCUGCCACCCCUCGGACAUCAGCAGCAUCAGUCCCUAAGUCUUCUACCAAAGCUACCAACACUAGUUCUGUAAAACGCAGGACCCAACCUGAAAAUCCUCUUGUCCAAUCUGUUCCCAGCUUCUCUGACUUAAGAAAGGAAAACACAAAGCCAUCAGCAGGAAUUAGCAGGGUAAAUACACGUGUACGGUCAAGAAACUUUUCUCGAAGCAAGAGCAACUGUGAAGAGGUGAACCUUGUGAAGGAAGACAAGCCAAGUAGGUCGCAGUCCAUGAGGAAAUCCUCAAUUGGUCCUUGUGAAUUGAAGGACCUUUCACCUCUCAAUUCUGACAGUGCCAAUGGGACACCUUUAAGAUUUUCUAAGGAGCAAACAGAGCCAGUUUUUCAUAAUAAGGUCCAGAAGAAUGGUGAAUCAAAGUCAUUCCUUGGGAAGGGUAAUGGUUUAGGACCUGGUGCUGGAGCUGGUGUAGCUAAACUCAAUGCCUCCAUGGUUUGUGAGGUGCUAAAAGAUGGAGAAGAUUUUGAAGGAAUGGUGGAUCAGGAGGAGGAUUCACCUGACAUGGUUAAAGAUGAUGAAGAACUUGAAAGAACAUCUGCUGAAGGAAAUCCUAAAGCCAUAGAUUUUCCUGCAGACUCAGAUAGCGAAAAGCCAAGACUGAGCCAAGAAUUUGGAAAUUCUGAUGAGCCUGGAUCAGAAGAUGGCGAUGUUCCUAGAUCAUUCUCCCAAGCAGAUGAUGAUAUGUCUGCUGUUUCUACAAAGUUUAAUACUUUUGCAGGAAAUGUGCAGGAAUCACCGGGAGAAAGCCCAGGAUCAUGGAACUUACAUUUACAACAUUCAUUUUCUUUUGCAAAUGAGACAUCAGAUGUUGAUGCUUCUGUAGAUUCACCUACAGGCAGUCCAGCAUCUUGGAACUCUCACCCACUAAACCAAAGGAUGGAAGCUGAUGCUGCUCGAAUGAGAAAGAAGUGGGGAAGUGCUCAGGUACCUAUGCUCAUUGCUAAUGCAUCUCAGCAACCGCGAAAGGAUGUGACAAAAGGUUUCAAGCGAUUGUUGAAAUUUGGGAGAAAAAGCAGGGGUGUAGAGAGUUUGAUAACUGAUUGGGUAUCUGCCUCAACAGCUUCUGAAGGUGAUGAUGACACAGAAGAUGGUCGCGAUUUGGCACCACGUCAAUCAGAUGAUCUGAGGAAGUCGAGAAUGGGCUACCCUCUUUCUUCUCUUGAUGUCUUCAAUGAGGGCGAGGUCUUUCCUGAACAAGCUCAAUCUUUACGCAGUUCCAUUCCAAAUGCUCCUGCAAACUUCAGGUUGAGGGAGGACCAUCUUACUGGAAGUUCCUUGAAAGCACCCCGCUCCUUCUUCUCUCUUUCAACCUUUCGGAGCAAGGGAAGUGAAUCCAAGCUUAGGUGACUAUGAAGAGUAUAUGAUAUGGCUGAAGUGAUAUACCACUGUGAAUUUCUCGAUAGAUGUUAUACAUCUGCAUUAUUUUAUGAUAUCUCAGUCUCUCCAGUGCAUUCAGGCAUUUAUGCAUGCACCUUUUAAAUCGCUGUCUCUCUUACAAAGUUUUCGCUUCAUCGGCCCAUAGAUCAGCACCUCUUAAAUCCCUCAGCAGCCACCUUCAUCAAAAAGACUUCAUUACCUAACAGUAGAAAUGUUACAAAUGCUCCAAUUUGCCAGAGGAAUCUUAUGGAAAUGAGAAUCUGGAUCGGAAAAGAGUGGAUGGCUGCAAGGAGACACAAGAAUUCCGGGCUACUUUCCGAAAGGAAACAGAGUCAAUGUGCUUUCUAGUUUCUUGGAAGGUGCUCUAGAUUCUGGAUUCAUGAGGCCCAGGUGAAGAAAGCGCACAAAAGUCUCUGCUGGAGGGCACUUAAAUGACUCAGAUGAGCGACUUGCAGUUACAUUAUCACAGUAAGGAUGCAAAUAAUUGGCUGGAGCAGCUCUCUCCAAUGAAGUAGGCGCUGAAAGGAAGACUAUCGAUCAGUUGAAGCAAAAGAUCUAUGCUUGUUUACUACACAGCGUGUCAUCUGUUGCAUUGGGUCUUGAAAGCCAAACCAAUUAUGGUUGACAUUUAUUUGAUUCAUGUUGGUGAGAUGAUGGCCUUUAGCCACUAAAGCUACAAGACUACAAAUUCCAGAAUAGACUGAAAAAGCCUAUUAAUGUGAUAGAAGAACACUCGAGUGAAGGAAACAUUGUGGAUUUGCUUUCGUAUUUGUAUAUAUUCUUCAGUGAUCAUGCAGGCCCAACAUGAAUACAUGAUUUUGUCCGUAGAUUAUCAAUAGAGAGUCUACCA